rnacentral:misc_RNA from 1 species
GAUGAAUAACGUAGCGAAAUGCGAUACGUAAUGUGAAUUGCAGAAUUCAGUGAAUCAUCGAAUCUUUGAACGCAUAUUGCGCUCUUUGGUAUUCCGAAGAGCAUGCUUGUUUGAGUAUCAGUAAACACCUCAAAGCUUUUGGAUUUUUUAAUCGAAAAGCUUUGGACUUGAGCAAUCCCAACACCAAUCUUUUUGAGAUCGGUGGCGGGUUGCUUGAAAUGCAGGUGCAGCUGGACAUUCUCCUGAGCUAAAAGCAUAUUCAUUUAGUCCCGUCAAACGGAUUAUUACUUUUGCUGCAGCUAACAUAAAGGGAGUUUGACCGUAUUGGCUGACUGAUGCAGGAUUUCACAAGGGUCGGCAACGAUUCUUGUUAAACUCGAUCUCAAAUCAAGUAAGACUACCCGCUGAACUUAAGCAUAUCAAUAAGCGGAGGA